rnacentral:rRNA from 1 species
GUGUCAGCAGCCGCGGUAAUACGGAGGGUGCGAGCGUUGUCCGGAAUCACUGGGCGUAAAGGGCGCGUAGGUGGCGCGAGAAGUCAACGGUGAAAGCUCGGGGCUCAACCCCGAGUCGGCCGUCGAUACUCUUGGGCUCGAGCACUGUAGAGGCAGGUGGAAUUCCGGGUGUAGCGGUGGAAUGCGUAGAGAUCCGGAAGAACACCGGUGGCGAAGGCGGCCUGCUGGGCAGUUGCUGACACUGAGGCGCGACAGCGUGGGGAGCAAACAGGAUUAGAAACCCGUGUAGUCC